UACGUAGGGUGCGAGCGUUUAAUCGGAAUUACUGGGCGUAAAGCGUGCGCAGGCGGUUUUGUAAGACAGAGGUGAAAUCCCCGGGCUUAACCUGGGAACUGCCUUUGUGACUGCAAGGCUUGAGUGCGGCAGAGGGGGAUGGAAUUCCGCGUGUAGCAGUGAAAUGCGUAGAUAUACGGAGGAACACCGAUGGCGAAGGCAAUCCCCUGGGCCUGCACUGACGCUCAUGCACGAAAGCGUGGGGAGCAAACAGG
rnacentral:rRNA from 1 species